GGUAAAAUGGCUGAAUUUAGGUAAUAAACUGUAAAUUUAUUUAUGAAAUAUUAAUUUCUUUUACCA
rnacentral:tRNA from 1 species